CUGCGGCAGCGAACGUAUCACCCAAGACAACUUUGCGGAGUUGACGAUUGACGGAGCGAAGCGACGUCAAAGCGUUCAUUAAAGUCGAGUUGGCUUAGGGAUACGUUCGUUGGGUAGGGGAGCGUUCUGUAAGCCAGUGAAGGUGUGUCGUGAGGCAUGCUGGAGGUAUCAGAAGUGCGAAUGCUGACAUAAGUAACGAUAAAGCGGGUGAAAAGCCCGCUCGCCGGAAGACCAAGGGUUCCUGUCCAACGUUAAUCGGGGCAGGGUGAGUCGACCCCUAAGGCGAGGCCGAAAGGCGUAGUCGAUGGGAAACGGGUUAAUAUUCCCGUACUUGGUGUUACUGCGAAGGGGGGACGGAGAAGGCUAUGUUGGCCGGGCGACGGUUGUCCCGGUUUAAGCGUGUAGGUGUGUGUUCCAGGUAAAUCCGGUUCACUUUAACACUGAGGCGUGACGACGAGGCACUACGGUGCUGAAGCAACAAAUGCCCUGCUUCCAGGAAAAGCCUCUAAGCAUCAGGUAACAUCAAAUCGUACCCCAAACCGACACAGGUGGUCAGGUAGAGAAUACCAAGGCGCUUGAGAGAACUCGGGUGAAGGAACUAGGCAAAAUGGUGCCGUAACUUCGGGAGAAGGCACGCUGACACGUAGGUGAAGUGAUUUACUCAUGGAGCUGAAGUCAGUCGAAGAUACCAGCUGGCUGCAACUGUUUAUUAAAAACACAGCACUGUGCAAACACGAAAGUGGACGUAUACGGUGUGACGCCUGCCCGGUGCCGGAAGGUUAAUUGAUGGGGUCAGCGCAAGCGAAGCUCCUGAUCGAAGCCCCGGUAAACGGCGGCCGUAACUAUAACGGUCCUAAGGUAGCGAAAUUCCUUGUCGGGUAAGUUCCGACCUGCACGAAUGGCGUAAUGAUGGCCAGGCUGUCUCCACCCGAGACUCAGUGAAAUUGAACUCGCUGUGAAGAUGCAGUGUACCCGCGGCAAGACGGAAAGACCCCGUGAACCUUUACUAUAGCUUGACACUGAACAUUGAGCCUUGAUGUGUAG
rnacentral:rRNA from 3 species